rnacentral:rRNA from 1 species
AACGAACGCUGGCGGCAUGCCUAACACAUGCAAGUCGAACGAGACCUUCGGGUCUAGUGGCGCACGGGUGCGUAACGCGUGGGAACCUGCCCUUAGGUUCGGAAUAACUCCCCGAAAGGGGUGCUAAUACCGGAUAAUGUCUUCGGACCAAAGAUUUAUCGCCUUUGGAUGGGCCCGCGUUGGAUUAGCUAGUUGGUAGGGUAAAAGCCUACCAAGGCGACGAUCCAUAGCUGGUCUGAGAGGAUGAUCAGCCACACUGGGACUGAGACACGGCCCAGACUCCACGGGAGGCAGCGGUGGGGAAUAUUGGACAAUGGGCGAAAGCCUGAUCCAGCAAUGCCGCGUGAGUGAUGAAGGCCUUAGGGUUGUAAAGCUCUUUUACCCGGGAUGAUAAUGACAGUACCGGGAGAAUAAGCUCCGGCUAACUCCGUG